CAGUCGCCGCGGGAAUACGUAGGUGGCAAGCGUUGUCCGGAAUUAUUGGGCGUAAAGGGCUCGCAGGCGGUUUCUUAAGUCUGAUGUGAAAGCCCCCGGCUCAACCGGGGAGGGUCAUUGGAAACUGGGAAACUUGAGUGCAGAAGAGGAGAGUGGAAUUCCACGUGUAGCGGUGAAAUGCGUAGAGAUGUGGAGGAACACCAGUGGCGAAGGCGACUCUCUGGUCCGUAACUGACGCUGAGGAGCGAAAGCGUGGGGAGCGAACAGGAUUAGAUACCCCCGUAGUCCCUGUCUCUUAUAC
rnacentral:rRNA from 1 species